AAUAAAAGGAACUUGGAGAAGUCCUUGCCCCUUCCACCAUGUGAGAACACAUCAAGAAGACAGCCAUCUAUCAACCAGGAAGUGGGUUCUCACCAGACACUGAAUUUGAAGGUGCCUUGAUCCUGGACUUCCAGCCUCCAGAACUGCUUGUCUGUGUAUUUGAUGGAACACUCACCUUUUCCAGACUUUAUGAACUGACUUCUAUGAGGAAAGAUCUUCACCUGCUGGGGAUGAAGUGGCAACCAAGAAGAUUUCUCUUGAUGCUGAGCUAUGCAGGCCUGAGAUAUGAGGUUACACAAGUAAAAUGCUUCCUACUCUUUUCUAUGAGGCGAUCCUCAGUUUUUGUGCCCCACGGGCUUGGUACAGCUUCUUUAUUAGACUCUGGAGCUCUCCCAGAGUUAUUUUUGGCCUACGAAUAGUGGUUAAGUUACUCUUUUUGUAGAAAGACAAGGGCUGAGAUUGCCUACUCCACUAUCUUGCUGAUGUUACAUCUACCUAACUCUAUUUAGUAUUUCCAUAGUCUCUAUAUGUUUAGACAGUAUCUAUUGACUCUUAGAUAUGAGCAAUGCAGAUUUAGUGUAUUUUUUCUUCUUUUCCUCCUAUUAUCUAGCCUACUUACAGCAAUAUCAUAUUAUUUUUCUUACUGCUUAUCCUUAUAUAUUUAAUAUAUUUAAACUUAAAUUACUUGGUUUAUUAACUCUUAUUUAAAGUUUGACAGAGGCUGCUCAUCAAAUUUGGUAAUAUUUAUGGAUUCAUAUUAUAACUGAUAACUUUUCAAAGGAUUCCUGGAAAUAUCAAUGGAGAGGAAAAUUAUGGCACAGUCAGGAAUUUUUGCUCAUUAGAGAUGGUACACCUUCAAGAUAUAGAAUAUUACUCUUAAUGAAUCAAGGGUAGAUAUAGCAUUAACAAAAAUCAGGACGUCUGGAUUACAAAUUGAUUUGCCUGUAAAAAUAUAUACUUUUGAUCUACUUAGUUGAAUCUUUUUUCAAAUCUGUAAAAAUUUUUUUGUUAUUAUUAAUAAUAACAUUAAUAAUGCAUGCCUGGUUUUCUGGAUUCACCACAAAAAUAGAACUUCCCUUUGCAGAGAAGGGGAAAACCAUUCUUUCUGUUUUUAGUAUGUCAGAACAAUGAUACGUCACUGACUUCAUUUCUUAUCCAGUUCCAUCAUUUUAUAGUGAGUAAAAUUUCUCCUAAAUUAUGGAUGUUGUUUGAGUUUCAUUCCCACAAUUUUGACUGGUUUUGGUGCUCUAAUGUAUUUUAGUGUUAAGUUUGGAAGAAAUGCAACAAAUACUGCUUGAGUAUUUGGCCAUUUUCUACAUAGUACACAAGAACUUUAGUGCAUUUAUUUUUUACAAACUGCCUAUUCAACCUAUCUCUAUUGGGAACUAUAAUGUAUUUUUUACUUCCAUAAAGAGAAGAGCAAACUUUUACAGUUUUUAUUAUGUCUCCCUUUUUUUUAGAGUUUUAACUCUAAUCAACCACAACAUCAACUGAAAUUAAACACAAAUCCUUAUUAUUCAACCACUUUUAGAUGUCUAGGGUAAUAAUACUUUUCUGCUUGAAUAGAUAAUAGGUUUCUUCCACAUUUUAAUGAAUAUGACUGACUCACUCAUGAUUUUAGAUUAUUAUUGCUAUAUUCAUAUUAAGGAUAACUCAGUUGACUUCAAUAGUUGAAUAUUUAGCUGGUUCCAUUAAAAAAACUGACGAAAUAACUGAAAUAUUUUUAUUUUGAGUUUAAAAUGGAAAACAAAACCUACUUUGCGUAACUCAUUAAAGCUAAAAUUUUGAAUUGCCUUUCAAGAAAAAUAAAAAACACUUGAAUAUUUUUAUGAUACAAUACAUACAUAUUGAGGCUAAAGUUUCAAAUGUAAAAACAACUAAUUUUUAUAGGACAAUUGUAUUAAUACUUUAUAUUCAUAAAUUUUGCCAUUGUUGAAUCUUCUACAUUGUUCAAAAUAAGAAAAGGAUAAAGAGAGCAAGUAGACCAAAGAGAUGUCUUGCUAUGGGCCUUCAGAUUUGAGAUUUUUAUAACAUUGCACUUUUUAGCUACCUACUUAUCAAUAAAAUCCUGUAAAUCUGAUAAUACUUAUACUGCCUGGUGAUCAUAAUAUACAUAGCAUGCCUGAUGCAAACAACUAAAAUAAAAAGUGUUAUUUGCAAUUGUAAUAGAGGUGUCAUAGGAGUCUUUAGGUUUACCUUUUGGCCUUAGCAAUUAUAACAGCAGAGAUAGGAGGUUAUGUAUUGCCAUCUUCUGGUGAGUUUCAUUAACUCCUUGCAGUACUUAAUCAGAUGGUGGAUACGGUUUUACAAUAGGCUCUUUACAUGACUGAUUUUUCCAAACAAAUGCCUUUAUCAGUAAGAAUAUAUGUGUUUAUUAAACUAACAAUAUUAACAGUGAUUGAAAUAAAAUUACCUGUUUUUAGACACAGAUGGUUAAGUUUCAAAAGGCUGGGAUUGUGAUAGUUUUGGUCAUCAUUGCAUCCUCAGUACUUGAUACUUUUAUGCCAAAUAUGGGGAUUCAAUACACACAUGUUGGGUUAUAUUAAUAGGUCUCAAUUUUAUCUUUAUUUGAUCUUGACUUUACUUCCCCAGAUCAAAUGGAAAUUUAUUGCUGAGUCUGAGAACUCUGGACUGUUUCAAAAUUUUCUGCCCAAAUUUUUCACUCUGCUUCUUGUUUCAUCCAAAUUCUGGAUGUUAAAAAGCCCCAGUCUUAUAUAAAAGGGAUGAUUUGCUUUCCUUUCCAAACACCUUAUCUCUUCCAGUGUCCAGGUUAAAUUCAAGCAGCUGGUUUCCCCAUGGAAUAUACAGGCAAUGCCUGAGAUCCCUCCCUAGCUCUGCAGCUUUAUCACAUUGACUCCUUAAUUCUCCAUUAUGGAAGCUUUGGCCACAGUGACAUGUGACUCUUCUGUUCUCCAUUACUGUGUUAUCCUUCAUAUAUGCCCCUCCUGGCAAUUGAGCCACAUGACUUUACAGGAGUGCCUUUUUGUGAUGAAACUUCUCAGAGAGUGCACAUUUUGGUCGUCAAAGCCAAACUUCUUACCAUGAACAAUAUAUACUAAAUCUGGAGGGAUUAAAUAUCUAAUUCAUCCUACUCAUUUUAUGUAUUAAAAACAGUGGCACAUCAGUUUAGAAGGACAUGCAUAAGGUUAAAAACACACCAGAAGUAGAUGUUCUGCAGCAGUUUUGCCUUCUUUUUUUCUCUUUAAUCUUUUAGAUUUAUAUGCUUCUCUAGCACAGGAAAAAUAAUUUUAUAGAAAAGCUGUUUCCUCACAGUCUUGUAGUAAGAAAUCAUUUUCCCUUCCCUAUUUGAUUGUGUCAUUAUGUUUUCACAUAUCUUUCUGGUAUAUUUCCAGGAGGAACUGUAUCUGAGAUUAUUUCUUCCUUUCUAUUCUUGCAUAUUUGCGUCCUUCUUUAUUAUCUCUGUCUUUUCCGCUUCAUACCAUUUAAAAUUCUCAUUAUCCUCUUCCUGACUCACUGAUUCCUUUGUGGUUAUAUAUUUUCCUAUCCUUGCUUGGUCAUUUCCUCACUAUUCUGUGAUUACUAUGGUCACAAACAUUUUUGGUGUGAUACUAUGAAAAUGAACUGAGCUUAUAUGUUUUCUAGAAAAUAAAGAUUCACCUUUUAUGC